CACGUAGGGUGCGAGCGUUGUCCGGAAUUAUUGGGCGUAAAGAGCUCGUAGGCGGUGUGUCGCGUCGGCCGUGAAAACCUGCAGCUUAACUGUGGGCGUGCGGUCGAUACGGGCAUCACUGGAGUUCGGCAGGGGAGACUGGAAUUCCUGGUGUAGCGGUGAAAUGCGCAGAUAUCAGGAGGAACACCGGUGGCGAAGGCGGGUCUCCGGGCCGAUACUGACGCUGAGGAGCGAAAGCGUGGGGAGCGAACAGG
rnacentral:rRNA from 1 species